CCCUCGCCAACGGUUUUUAAACGGGCAAAAAACACCCAGAGGUUCAUCACUCCUACUCGUAGCCGCAGUAGCUCCAGAUAUAUAGAGAAAGACUGUGAAGGGGCCGGGGGGGAAACGUCGUCGUUUCGGUGGACGGAUCUCACUGCAUCUGCACGCACGGCACAGUGACCUUUUAGCAGCAGAGUGCUGAAGAAGAGAACCCUCUUCUGGACUCUCGGUACCCUUUCCUUUUUCAUCUUCAGAUUCGAGCAUUUUGGUGUCCUCAAGCAAGGAAUCGACGAUGGAGAGAGCUACUCCCGUGAGGAAGCCUCACACGUCUACCGCAGAUCUGCUCACCUGGUCGGAAAAUCCGCCCGCCGCCGCCUCCUCCACCGCCUCCGGCCCUCGCUCCGCCCCCCGUUCUCAUCAGCCAUCGGAUGGGAUCAGUAAGGUGGUGUUUGGAGGUCAGGUCACAGAUGAAGAAGUUGAGAGUUUGAACAAAAGGAAACCUUGUUCGGCAAAUAAAUUAAAGGAAAUUACUGGUAGUGGCAUUUUUGAAGCUGAGUCAGAAAACGGUACAUUAGAAUCUGAUGCCAACGCCUCUCCAAAUAGCAAAACCGGAUUGCGUAUGUACCAGCAAGCUGUCGCUGGAAUCAGCCACAUUUCAUUUGGUGAAGAAGAAGCCGUUUCUCCCAAGAAGCCUGCCACAUUGCCUGAGGUGGCGAAACAGCGUGAAUUGAGUGGGACGCUGGAAAGUGAGUCUGAGGCAAAGUUGAAGAAGCCAAUUUCUGAUGCUAAGUGCAAGGAACUUAGUGGACAUGACAUUUUUGCCCCGCCUCCCGAAAUUCAACCCCGCCCCUUGGCUACUCGAGCAUUAGCAUUGAGAGAGAGUAUAGAAAUUGGAGAACCUGCAGCUCGUAAUCCUGCUGGAGGUCAGAGUAACGAUAUUGUUAGUGAGGAAACAGUUGUCAAGACAGCAAAGAAGAUCAAUAGCCAGAAAUUUGCAGAGCUGACGGGAAACAAUAUUUUCAGGGGCGAUGCUGAAUCAGCAUCUGCUGAGAGAUCCCUGAGUUCUGCAAAGCUGAGAGAAAUGAGCGGCAAUGAUAUUUUCGCUGACGGGAAGGUAGAAUCUCGAGAUUACUUUGGCGGGGUCCGUAAGCCUCCUGGUGGCGGCAGCAGCAUUGCCUUGGUGUAAAACACGUUAGGUCUGACUCAAUAAUUUUACAUGGUUACAUUGCGUCUGUUUUUAAUUAAUUUCCGAGGAGAGUUGUGGGUUUUAGUAUGCCAUAGGUUUUAACAUGUCAACCAGAGAGCGUGGACGACUGGCUAAUUGGGUUGGGUUUCAUUCAUGUCCAUGAUCUUUUGUCCUCCUCUGGUGUUUGUCUGAAGGAAUUGCAUGGGUGUUUCAUGUUCUGUUUUGUUGCUUUGGAAAUCUCAUGUGUAUUCAUUCUUGUAGCAGAUUCGGACUAGCUACACAUUGAUAAUUAUCUUCCUUUUCGAGGGUGGGAUUUUCUGGAUCGAAGAUGCACUGAAUCUACUAGAGGUUGGAAAAAUAUGUUUCCAUGUCUUCCUUGUCUUUUCUGAACCCAUUACUACAUGUGUUUGCUUAUGUAGUUAAGUCAUAUUAGAGCCUGCAUUUUAUUGGGCUCUCAAUUUUUUGGAUCCAGAUCCAAUAAAUAAGGAUCCAAUUUACAUCUU